GAUUAACGCUGGCGGCGUGCCUAACACAUGCAAGUCGAACGAGGUAGCAAUACCUAGUGGCAGACGGGUGAGUAACGCGUGGUCAACCUACCGUUGAGUGGGGGAUAACUAGCCGAAAGGUUAGCUAAUACCGCAUACGUCUCCGAGGGGCAUCCCUUGGCGAUAAAAGGAGCAAUCCGCUCGAUGACGGGACCGCGUCCCAUUAGCUAGAUGGUGGGGUAACGGCCUACCAUGGCACCGAGGGUAGCUGGUUUGAGAGAGCGACCAGCCACACUGGGACUGAGAAACGGCCCAGACUCCUACGGGAGGCAGCAGUGGGGAAUAUUGGACAAUGGCGCAAGCCUGAAUCCAGCCAUGCCGCGUGGGUGAUGAAGGCCCUAGGGUUGUAAAGCCCUUUCGGCGGGGGAAGAUAAUGACGGUACCCGCAGAAGAAGCCCCGGCUAACUUCGUGCCAGCAGCCGCUGU
rnacentral:rRNA from 1 species